UCAAAGCAAGAAACAGUGCAGUCGCACAACACUGCAUAUAUACAUAAUUACCACUACCUAUGCUGUUUGGUUUUCAUACGUUGUUGUUGUUGUUUUCCACUUUACUCGCUUUCCCACUGCCCGCAAAUUAUGUGUCUCUAUUCACUUCCACGAUACAAGAGAUGUAAAAGGAGAAACAAGUUACGAGCUCCAAACUCUGCACUCUGAAGAUCGAGAUCAAGGGUUCAAGAAAUUGGGUCUCACGCGUCGAUGGAUGGAGGUGCUAUAAACCAACCACAACACAAAUCAAGGUAUUGGCGUGCCUCAAUUUGAAUACAUGGCUUCUGAGAAAAACAAGCCAUGUACUUUGAUUGAGCCGCGUCAAUAUCUUAUUUUGCACUUCUUUCCAUCUCUUACACAUAUGCAUCUCGCUAUCUCAAACCCAGAAACUGUUUCUCUGGGUGUAAUAGGAUUGAUAUGCAUAUACAUAUCUAGAAUCCCUAGUUUGGCUGUUUGAUUUUAA